UCAUUCACCCCUGACCACACAACACACACAGACAGAAGGCUCACCUCCCCCACUACACCCAGCACAGAACUAUUUUUCUCCCGCUCUACAUGUUUCCAAGAUGAUCAACGCUCCUUUUAAACUGCUGCGGGCGGCAGGAAGGCGGCUGCCGAGGCAGGGGAGGGUAUUCACCGGGCGCUCGACGCUGUUGUGGUACCAUAUGCACAGCCGGGAUCACAUAGGGUCUUCGGGGUUUUGGGCGGCCAUUGCGUUGACCACAGUGGUGCCUGUUUUGGUUGUGAUGCUGGCUGACAGAACCGUGGAAAAGCGACUGAGAGGGAAGACAAAAGAAGAGCAAUGGCUCGAGGUGGCUUCGUCGGUGGCCAAGUGACAGCAAGCGGCCAAGUGGAAACUGUGUGAAAACUGAAUUAUUCCAUGUUAGUAACAAUUGGCCAAACUGGCCCUGACACGUGAUAGACACGUGAAACACACGUGAUAGAGACGUGAUGUGGAACAGUCUGAUGUGAACAAUAGUAAUAGUCAGAAACAGAUGCACAUAUGAACGAUUGUUGAAAUAUGCGUUUUCCACAAGUGCCAAGGUCACCAAGAUGGCGUCCUCGUGAAAGAACGAAGUGCAAUGGAAUCACAGAGUCUAGUUUGAUUCACCAGAAUGGAUUUGUUUUUAAGUUUGAAGGAAGAAAAAGAUUUUUGUUUGGCACACAGAAAGAAUGUCUGCGAUUAGACUUAAGUAUUCUUUGAGAACAACAAAUUAACUAGUAUUCGGAGACUUCCAUGAAAUAUUUAGACUUUUGUGAUUUUUUUUCUGUUUUUAGAUUUUGUCACUGAUUAUGGAAAUGUUUAACACAACGAAGUGUUUAGCACAAGUUUUAAUACAAGUUAUGUAUGGCGGUUGUCUCAACUGAAGAUUACAUAUAAUAUUUUACACGUGAGAGGCCUAUCCUAUAGCAAAGUUUUGUUUAUUAUCAAAAAGGACACUUUACGAGACAUUUGCUGAACCCAGCCAAACAAUUGUACAAUUAUCAGAUUUUAGACAUUUUCAGUGUAAGUGCUUAGAUGCCAUGCUUCCUAAAGUGGUGAAUACAAAGGUCAGUGAUAACGUACACAAAGAUUUAAAUAUAGAAACGUAGGACUUUGGACCCUCCACCUGAGCUAAUGUGAUGAUGCAACCGCAGGGUAACACCUGUAACCAUACGUAACAUAGCAAACAGGCCAAGACGGUCCCGCCUUAAGCUUCGGUCCCGCCUUAAGCUUCGGUCCCAAUCGGAAAAAGUCGCCCUGUCGGGUAGUUUCCGGGCUGUUUUUUUUGGGGGGGGGGGGGGCACUUUCGGGUGAGACCCCUACGUGGCCCCGCAGUACACCCUGCGGCUAUCGGGCUAUUCGGCCCGGCCGGGACCCGAGAAGAAUUUAGUUGGGGAGAAAGAAUGGGUGAAAUGUGCUGUAUUUGCUCUUGAGCAAAUGUCGGCCUUUCUAGUUCUUGAAGAUGUCGUUCUGACUGAUAUUGUACACAUCAGUUGGAACUUUUGGCACAGUACAAUGCGGAUGGUUUACGAUGUCGAUAGAACAAAGUAUUAAAGUAACUGGCAUUUGGAUGUGUCUUGCGACCUUAAAUGUUAUCAAUAAACUCAUCACAGACCACAA